rnacentral:rRNA from 1 species
UGAUGUGGUUUAAUUCGAUGCAACGCGAAAACCUUACCCACCUUUGACAUGUACGGAAUCCUUUAGAGAUUUGGAGUGCUCGAAAGAGAACCUGCACACAGGUGCUGCAUGGCUGUCGUCAGCUCGUGUCGUGAGAUGUUGGGUUAAGUCCCGCAACGAGCGCAACCCUUGCCAUUAGUUGCUACGAAAGGGCACUCUAAUGGGACUGCCGGUGACAAACCGGAGGAAGGUGGGGAUGACGUCAAGUCCUCAUGGCCCUUAUAGGUGGGGCUACACACGUCAUACAAUGGCCGGUACAGAGGGUAGCCAACCCGCGAGGGGGAGCCAAUCCCACAAAGCCGGUCGUAGUCCGGAUCGCAGUCUGCAACUCGACUGCGUGAAGUCGGAAUCGCUAGUAAUCGCGGAUCAGCAUGUCGCGGUGAAUACGUUCCCGGGUCUU